UCACGACACUUACAAUAGUAAUAAAUGAAAUGUGAAGUUAAAACACAGUAAACAGGACAUUAGUAACUGUAACUGUAGUUUUACUAUGGUAUAUUAAUAAUCAAUACAACAAUACAAUAAUCACCAAACCAGCUAUGUUUGUAUCACUGUAAUGUUAGUGUUUUUAUGUGCUUUUAUAUGACAGAUAUCACAGUAAUCAUAUGUUCUGUACCAUGCUUUUAAUACCUUUUAAUGUAAAUCCAAAAAAAAAAAAAAAUCAAAUUAAAAAUAAAUAAUAAAACAUGUAUUUUUCCAUUUUGCAGUUCUUUCAUAUCAGUUUAUAUAUAUAUAUAUAUAUAUAUAUAUAUAUAUAUUUAUUAUAUCUAAAUAUUUUGCUCACAGAUCAUUAUUAACAUUCUGUAUAUAAUUCAAUUUUAUUUACUCUCCCCUUUUUAUUAUUUUUAUUUUUAUUUUUAGCUGAAAAGACGUAAAGGCAGUCAGCCCAGUGGUGUUUCUGGAGAGGGUUUCCUUCAGAAAUGGAGAAGACAGAAAGCUGCGGAGGCAGAUAUAUGCAGCAGAUUGUUUGAGGAUAACGCUGUAGCUCCAUCAUGCACAAGGACUCACCUCGUUUACUCUUUAUCACCCACACACACAGAAAUGGUCCCUGGAUCAGUGAUUAGACUUUGCAGUGGUUUGAUUUUUGCAGAAGAUGUAACUUUGUUUUAAUUAUAAGCUCAUAAUGAAUACAUUACAGAACCAGUGAUGAAAACAAUAGUUAAAAAUAGCGCUCCAUAUUAAAAAUAUAUU